AUAAGGCAUGCAAGUCGUGCGAGUCUUGUGCUUUGCACAAGGCUAGCGGCGAACGGGUUAGUAACACGUGGGUUAUCUGCCUCAAUGCCAGGGAUAGCCUCGCGAAAGCGGGGGUAAUACCUGAUAGUUCGAGCAUAUUUUGCUCGAUAAAGCCGAAAGGCGCAUUGGGAGGAGCCCGCGGCCUAUCAGCUAGUUGGUAGGGUAAUGGCCUACCAAGGCGAUGACGGGUAGGGGGCGUGAGAGCGUGACCCCCAACAAGGGCACUGAGACACGGGCCCUACUCCUACGGGAGGCUGCAGUCGAGAAUCUUGGACAAUGGGCGAAAGCCUGAUCCAGUGAUGCCGCGUGCGGGACGAAGACCUUCGGGUUGUAAACCGCUUUUCUUGGGGAAGAACCAAGUUUUACUACUUGGUGACGGUACCCAAGGAAUAAGGGGUGACUAAACUCGUGCCAGCAGUAGCGGUAAUACGAGUGCCCCAAGCGUUAUCCGGAAUCACUGGGCGUAAAGCGUCCGUAGGCGUCCUAUCAAGUUUCUUGUUAUCUCCAGUGCUCAACAUUGGAGGAGCAAGAAAAACUGAUAGGAUAGAGGAUAUCAGAGGCCGGUGGAACUCACGGAGUAGGGGUGAAAUCCGUUGAUACCGUGGGGAACACCGAAAGCGAAGGCAGCCGGCUAGGGUAUUCCUGACGCUGAGGGACGAAAGCNUGGGGAGAGAACGGGAUUAGAUACCCCGGUAUUNCACGCCGUAAACGAUGCUGACUAGGUAUUUNGAGUGUCGACCCUCGGAGUGCCGAAGCUAACGCGUUAAGUCAGCCGCCUGGYAAGUACGGCCGCAAGGCUAAAACUCACAGGAAUAGACGGGGGCUCACACAAGCGGUGGACCACGUGGCUUAAUUCGAUGAUAAGCGAAGAACCUUACCAGGGCUUGACAUGCUAGGAUGUACGUCGGCGGAAACGUCGGCGGACCGUCAAUUCGGAGCCUAGCACAGGUGCUGCAUGGUUGUCGUCAGCUCGUGCCGUGAGGUGUA
rnacentral:rRNA from 1 species